rnacentral:lncRNA from 1 species
AGAAUAUGAACUCUAUGAGGAAAGGAAUUUUGACUGUUUUGUUCGCUGAUGUACCCUUAGGACCUAGUACGUUAUAGAUGUUCAACAGGUAUUUGUCGAAUUGAAUGACUAACUGAAUCCAUUUCUAUUUUGUGACAGUGGCAGAAAAGAGUGCUUUGAGUCAUAAUAACAUGGGCUACCAACUUCUGUUGAAAUGUGUUUGUAUCUUUGAGGGGGCAUCAAUAAAUCACCCCCUGUUUGGUCUAGGUCUAAAGCAACUGAUACAUAAAACCAAGUUUCAGCAGGAAGAGGACAAAAUAUCACCUUUCUGGAAGAACCAGUGGAAGAACAAGCUUAUGUCUAUAGGCAAGUCAGUUAUCUAAUGCUGAAACCCCAAAUAGGCACAUGUAUCUACAAAGCAAUACUGGGUCACAGCAAAUUUCUCCCAGCAGGAGCAGCAUGAGUUCCCAGAGAAGCAGAGAAGAAUUGCCACCUCCCAGAAUAAGGAAAGAGGAAGGAGCUGGGUUACUCAUCCAGUUUCUCCUUCCAAAUUCACAAAUAACAUGUUUUUCUUCUUGGAAGUGGGUGGGAGCAGUUGAGGUGGGUAUAGAGGAAUUUGUGGUGAGAGGAUGGAGAGAGACUGGCAGUGUUAUUCUAUAAUAGAUUCUUCUUCACAUAGAAUAACACACAGGAAUGGGGAAGAAGCAUUUUCCCCUAGUGAUAUCUAUAUUAUCCCUCUCUUGAAUUUUUUUUUCUUUUGGUUAAAAGUCAUAGAUCUCAGAUAUUUGGAAUUUUUACUUUUGCUUUCAGCAAACCCACAGAGGUAAAAAAAAAAAAAUCAGUCAGUAUACUUGGGCUAUAAAUGAUUGUUCAAAAAUAUAAAACUGGGAACUAGCCCAUUAACUGUCAGAGAAAAGUCAGGAGAAGUCUGUGUUUUACAAUACAGAGCCUUCAAUGGCCCCCACGUUCCCAGUGAUAUUGCAAAUAUUUUCAAAUCACAGACCACUGCCUUUGAAGGUAAUGACAAGCACAUUAUAAAGAAAACAUAGAUACAUUUGGGUGUUUCUUAUGUAUUAAACACAGGGAAUAUCAUAGUGCACAAAAUAAAUACAGUUCUUGCCCUUAAAGAAUCGAGUGGGGAAGGAGUAUAAAUAGAUAUAGAGCGAAAUAAAAUAUCAGUUCUACCAGACAGAUGUGCAUACUGACCCUAAAGGUGGGAAAUAAUCAAUAUUUACACAAUGGUCUUUAUGUUACAGGCACAGUAGCAAAUGCAGGGGGUGUAAAAAUAAGACUCAGUUCUUCCCUUAACAAAAAUAGGGAAUUUGAAAUGAGAGUGAUAGACAUACACAGAAAGUUAAAUUAUAAAAUGUACUAUAGCUUGGUCUUACACGGACCUACAAUGACCCAGGGAUAGAAAACUUAAUUCAGGUUUAGGUUUCAAGAAGACUUAGAGAGGUGAGUUUAAGCAAUAGCACAGACAUAGCAGAGGAAAGAAAGAAAGUGAGUUGGAAGAUAGAUUUGAGAUGCUCAUGUACAGUAUAUUGGAGUGAGUGCUAAAGAGAUGAAAACAUGGAGUAAGAAAGCCAAGAGGCAGGCUAAUAUGAUCAACUUCUACAUAUGUUUAGUUAUAGUAAAAGGAGGCAAGAACAGAAAGAAUGGGGGAAACAUAAAAGCCGAGACUUUUCCAGGAUUGAAUGGAACCCUCACAUUGUACAAGGUCAUACUUUGUUCUCAUCCGUAAAACUAAAAACAAAUCACACGCAUACAUAAGCAUGAAACUGCAGAGCAAUAAGGAAAACCUGAAAAUUGAAAAACCACCAAAAAGAGAAGACAAUAGGUUAUUUACUGAGGAAUAAUAACUGGGUAACAAUGAUAUAUGUUAGAAAACAUUAGCAUCUUCUCUUCCAAGGAGUGUGGAAAAUACCUGUCAGGCUAGAAUUCUGUUCUCAGAGAAGUAACAUUCACAGGUGAGAAUGAAAAAAAAGCCCACUUUAAGAAAUACAAAGACCAAGUGUUUAUCAACCACAGAAUUGUGAAGAAAGUACUCUAAACGAUGAAAUUCAACACAGAAGAAAAGAGUGGGUGCAAAAUCAGUGGCAACCCAAGGAGCAAGGACAGUGUACCCGAAGUGCAUGUGUGAAGGUCUGGGGGAAGAGAGAGAUGGAGAGGGAUGGGGGUAGAGGUAAGAGGAAGCCUGUGAUGGGCCGCUCUUAUCUUUGCUAAGGAUUUAGGCUUCAUCUUAAGGUGUAUGGAAUGAUGGAACGAUCUUAGUGAGGUGGUGGCAGGGUUGGAUGUGCUUUCAUAAGAGCACCGGCAGGGGGGGGUUCAGAAUGUUGGAGGGCAACAAGGUUGAGGCUAUGAGGCCAGUUAGAGGUUGUGGGUAUAAUUUAGAUGAGGAGAGAUCAGGGCCUGAAGGAAGGUGAGAAAAGGAGGAGAGCGGUCAGAUUCUGGAACUAUUAAAGAGAUAGGGCCUCAGGAGUCAGGAAUAAAUUUUGUUUAGGCAGAAAGAAAGGAAGCAUUGAGGACGCAGCCGUUUUCUUAGGACAGUUGCAAUGGAAGGAGCAAUGGGAGGCGACAGUGGACGCAUGAUAACCCUGUGAGACCUCAUCUCUGGAUGGGUGGUGAGACCUAGAAGGGUCGCCAGAGGAAGACCAGAGGUUAGGAUGGGGGCCUUGUUGGCACGUUUUCAUUCUAAUGAGUGGAGAACAAAGACGAGAGGCAAAAGUUGGAUGUAGAGAGGUAGGUGAUGCCUGAGAGCCUCCAGGAUGGAAUGCCUGAUGGGGAGAUGGGAGGUAGAGUCUUACAUACAAGGAAGGAGAGGGAAAGAAGCAGAUAGAAGAAACUCACAACUCUCUCCUCCUUUGAAAGUAGCAUCAGAGUAGUGAUGAGCAAAUGCUGGGUGAAUUAGUGAAUCAGUGCCUAGAAGGAUGGAUAAAUGUUGGAUGCAUUCGGGCAGGCCCCAAACAGAAAAACUCUCAACAAAGGUGAACGUGUUCUCAAGAUAGGUGCGACCUCUAGUGGCAGAAAAAAAACCCACCUCAGAAAUCUAAAGACAGAACAAAAUUGGAAGAAAAUGGCUAGGGGAAAUUUAUUUACAGAAUGAACAGAUAAAAGCAUUGCUCUACAAUGCCGUAGAUCCUGUCCUGCAUAAUCUUUGCUGUGUUCCGUUUCUUAUCAAUAGGGUUUAAUGGCAGAUGCCUUAUGAAUUCACUUUUAUAAUUAACUACUUAGAGUGAAUGGCUUAUGGAAAUGAAGUCAGUAAUCUUUUAAUUAUGAUUAAGACCUACAAAAAAUACCUGCAGGAGAGGACUAAUUACUUAUGUGUGAAAUUUCAUGUACAAGCUAGAUAAGAUAAUAGUAUUCAUUUUCAAAUAGAGAAAAAGGGAAAGAGGCAAUUAUAACCCAACGAGCCCCUGAUUGCCAAAGUCACAAAUAUGAUGAAAAGAGUGAAUUUAAAAACAGCAAUAGCAACAGCGGUUUUAAAAACAUUAAGCAAAAAUAUAAGACUAUAAAAAGAUGUAUAAAAAUUAUUUCAAUCCUUAAAAUUAUUAGUGAUACCAUAAUGUCAAAUUUCUUUGCAUAAGCUCAGAGAAGAAUUAUUUGUUGAUAUAAACAAAGGAUUUUUUUUAUGAGCCUGAGUGUUUUCUAAAGAAGAUCAAACUGAGUGUAUUCUCACGUUAAGCACAAUCAAUCAAAAUGUUUGGCACCUACUCCCAAGUUAAUUAUAUUACAAAAGAUCUGAAAUUUAUGCAUCAGGAAAGUACUUUGGAUGAAUUAGAAGGACUUCAGUUUUUCCAUUACAAUAGUUUUGAUCAACAACAUAGAAUGUAUGUGUAGGUGAAAGAAAAUAAACUUGUCUAAGAGUAGAACUAUUUGUGGGAAUUUUAAGCAGCUGGUGAGUGGUAGCCUGAGAGUAAGGGAGUAUUGAAUACAGGAGUGUAGCUGUGGAAACUUGUCCAGUCCACCUUUGCAGAAUUUGAAAACCCAAGUUAGCAGAAUUGAAAGCAGCUCGGUUCUUUGGGAUUUCUUGUUUGAUUCGGAAUCCUUUUUAAUGUCUAAUACCACCUUAUUUGAGUCUAACAUUAUUAAUAAGGUCAUAAUUGUCUCUAGACUUCGUUUAUUUCUUUAAUUUUUUCCGUUUAUAAUGAUUUUUAUUUUUUCCAUUAUAGCUGGUCGCAUUAUCGUGCUCCAUCAUAACUGAGUAGACAUAGUUCUCUGUGCUCUGCAGCAGGAUCUCAUUGCUGCUCCAUUCCAAAAGCAACAGUUUGCAUCUAUUAACCCCAAAUUCCCAGUCCAUCCCACUCCCUCCCCCUCCCCCCUUGACAACCACAAGUCUGUUCUCCAUGUCCAUGAUUUUCUUUUCUGUGGAAAGGUUCAUUUGUGCUGUAUAUUAGAUUCCAGAUAGGAGUGAUCAUGUGGUAUUUGUCUAGACUAUCUUAAAGCUACAUAGAGUGUUAACGUCCAUUAUUGACCAUGAGAUGCCUGGGAUUUAGUCAUCAGGCAUCACCGUGUAUUUAAAUAACAAAAAAUUUUGAACUUGACAGGACCAUAAACAGUUACCUGGAAACAAAUAAAAGCUGUUUCCAAGCAAUACUUAGGCAUCUUCAAUAAAAAAUAUCUCUUAAAAGUACAGUCAUACACCCAAAGAAGUGAUUAUCUUUAAUUUUUUUUAAAUGGGUGAUUUUGCUCUGUUUUUCUUCUAUUGUGUGUGAAUGAGAUUCUUUGCAUUGAGCAGGCAAGCAUGGGUUAAAUUUGUCAUUUUUUUCCUUUUUUUUAUCACAGCUUUACUGAGGUAUAAUUGAUAAAAAAUAGUAAGUAUUUAAGGUGUCAAACAGUGAUUUGAUAGAUACAUACAUUGUGAAAUGAUUACCAAAAUUGAGGUAAUUAACACAUCUGUCAUAUCAUAUAUUUACCUUUUGUGUACUGAGAACACUUAAGAACUAUCCUCUUAGCAAAUUUCAAGUAUAAAAUACAUUGUUGUUACCUAUAGUCCCCAUGCUAUAUGUCAGACCCCUCAGAACUUAUUCAUGUUAUUAAUGAAAAUUGUACCCUUUGACUACUCUCUCUCCAUUUCCCAACCUCCCCCAACCCUACAACCUGGCAACAAUUCUACUUUCUAUUCUUCUGAGUUAGAUUUUUUUUUUUAGAUUUCAUACAUAAGUGAGAUCAUACAUUAUCUUUCUGUGUCUGGCCUAUUUCACUUGGCACAAUGUUGUCCAGGUGCAUCUAUGAUAUUGCAAAUGGCAAGAUUUUCUUCUUUUUUAAAGCUCACAAUAUUCAUUAAUAUAUAUAUGAAUAUAUAUGAAUAUGAGAAAUGUGAGAUGUACCUAUCUCACAGUUUCUUUAUUCAUUCAUCCAUCCACUAACAGACUCUUGAGUUUUUUUCCAUACCUUGGCUAUUGUGAAUGUAGUAGUUCCCAUGUCUCUUUGAGAUACUGAUUUUAUAUAUCAUUUGGAUUUAUACCCAGAAGUGGGAUUUCUGUAUCAUACGGUAGUUUUAUUUUUAAUUUUUUUGAAGGAUCUCCAUCCUGUUUUUCAGUGGCUGCACCAAUUUAUAUUCCCACCAACAGGGUACAAGGGUUCCCUUUACCCCACGCCUGUGCCAACCCUUGUUAUCUCAUGUCUGAUUGAUAAUAGCCACUCUUAUAGGCGUGAGGUGCUAUCUCACUGUGGUUUUGACUUGCGUUCCCCUGAUCAUCAGUGAUGUUGAGCACUUUUCAUGUAUCUGUUGACCAUUUGUAAGUUUUCUUUGGAAAAAUUUCUGUUCAGGUCCUUUGCCUAUUUUUUAACCGGUGUGUGUGUGUGUGUGUGUGUUUUAUCUUUUUAGAGCCUCAUCUGUGUCAUAUGGUCGUUCCCAGGCUAGGGGUUACAUUGGAGCUGCAGCUGCCAGCCUACACCACAGCCACAGCAAUGCUGGAUCCUUAAUCCACUGAACAAGGCCAGGAAUCCUACCCGCGUUCUCAGGAUACUAGUUGGGUUCGUUACCACUGAGCCAUGAUGGGAACGUCUGUGUGUGUUUUGUUUUAUUUUAUUUGGUUUUGUUUUGCUGUUGAGUUGUAUGUCUUCCUUAUGUGCUUUGGAUAUUAACCCUUAAAAGAUAUGAUUUGUAAAUAUUUUCUCCCAUUCCAUAGAUUGCCUUCUGAUUUUGUUGAUUGUUUCCUUUGUGGCUCAGAAGCUUUUUAGUUUGAUAUAGCCCCUUUUGUUUAUUUUGUUGGCUUUUGUUACCUUACUUUUGGGACAUUCCAAAAAAAAAAAAA